rnacentral:rRNA from 1 species
CAGUAGCCACGGUAACACGUAGGGUGCGAGCGUUAAUCGGAAUUACUGGGCGUAAAGCGUGCGCAGGCGGUUGUGUAAGACAGGUGUGAAAUCCCCGGGCUUAACCUGGGAACUGCGCUUGUGACUGCACAGCUAGAGUAUGGCAGAGGGGGGUGGAAUUCCACGUGUAGCAGUGAAAUGCGUAGAGAUGUGGAGGAACACCGAUGGCGAAGGCAGCCCCCUGGGCCAAUACUGACGCUCAUGCACGAAAGCGUGGGGAGCAAACAGGAUUAGAUACCCCCGUAGUCCCUGUCUCUUAUAC